UACGGGGGGGGCAAGCGUUGUUCGGAAUUACUGGGCGUAAAGGGCGCGUAGGCGGCCAUCUAAGUCAGACGUGAAAUCCCUCGGCUCAACCGAGGAACUGCGUCUGAUACUGGAAGGCUUGAAUCCGGGAGAGGGAUGUGGAAUUCCUGGUGUAGCGGUGAAAUGCGCAGAUAUCAGGAGGAACACCGGUGGCGAAGGCGGCGCUCUGGACCGAGACUGACGCUGAGGCGCGAAAGCGUGGGGAGCAAACAGG
rnacentral:rRNA from 1 species